rnacentral:rRNA from 1 species
CAGCCGCCGCGGGAACACCAGCACCUCGAGUGGUCAGGAGGUUUAUUGGGCCUAAAGCAUCCGUAGCCGGUUGCAUAAGUUUUCGGUUAAAUCUAUGCGCUUAACGUAUAGGCCGCCGAAAAUACUGUGCAGCUAGGGAGUGGGAGAGGUACACGGUACUCGAUAGGAAGGGGUAAAAUCCUUUGAUCUAUUGAUGACCACCUGUGGCGAAGGCGGUGUACCAGAACACGUUCGACGGUGAGGGAUGAAAGCUGGGGGAGCAAACCGGAUUAGAUACCCCGGUAGUCCCUGUCUCUUAUAA